CUAACACAUGCAAGUCGAGCGGUAGCACAGAGAGCUUGCUCUCGGGUGACGAGCGGCGGACGGGUGAGUAAUGUCUGGGAAACUGCCUGAUGGAGGGGGAUAACUACUGGAAACGGUAGCUAAUACCGCAUAAUGUCGCAAGACCAAAGUGGGGGACCUUCGGGCCUCAUGCCAUCAGAUGUGCCCAGAUGGGAUUAGCUAGUAGGUGGGGUAACGGCUCACCUAGGCGACGAUCCCUAGCUGGUCUGAGAGGAUGACCAGCCACACUGGAACUGAGACACGGUCCAGACUCCUACGGGAGGCAGCAGUGGGGAAUAUUGCACAAUGGGCGCAAGCCUGAUGCAGCCAUGCCGCGUGUGUGAAGAAGGCCUUCGGGUUGUAAAGCACUUUCAGCGGGGAGGAAGGCGAUAAGGUUAAUAACCUUGUCGAUUGACGUUACCCGCAGAAGAAGCACCGGCUAACUCCGUGCCAGCAGCCGCGGUAAUACGGAGGGUGCAAGCGUUAAUCGGAAUUACUGGGCGUAAAGCGCACGCAGGCGGUCUGUCAAGUCGGAUGUGAAAUCCCCGGGCUCAACCUGGGAACUGCAUUCGAAACUGGCAGGCUAGAGUCUUGUAGAGGGGGGUAGAAUUCCAGGUGUAGCGGUGAAAUGCGUAGAGAUCUGGAGGAAUACCGGUGGCGAAGGCGGCCCCCUGGACAAAGACUGACGCUCAGGUGCGAAAGCGUGGGGAGCAAACAGGAUUAGAUACCCUGGUAGUCCACGCCGUAAACGAUGUCGAUUUGGAGGUUGUGCCCUUGAGGCGUGGCUUCCGGAGCUAACGCGUUAAAUCGACCGCCUGGGGAGUACGGCCGCAAGGUUAAAACUCAAAUGAAUUGACGGGGGCCCGCACAAGCGGUGGAGCAUGUGGUUUAAUUCGAUGCAACGCGAAGAACCUUACCUGGUCUUGACAUCCACAGAACUUUCCAGAGAGGAUUGGUGCCUUCGGGAACUGUGAGCAGGUGCUGCAUGGCUGUCGUCAGCUCGUGUUGGGAAA
rnacentral:rRNA from 1 species